AGCUUAGGUACCAAUUUGGCCACAAUGGGUUAGAACACUAUUCCAUUGUGUUCUUACCCACCAUGGCCAAAAUUGGGCCUAAG
ensembl:miRNA MIR588 microRNA 588